AAAUUAAAGCCCUUUCUGUCCUUUAAAAAACGAUAUAUUAUAUGUGUCGGUGCAAUAAAUUAGUAAAAUGCAAAUUGCAGUUGAACACAAACAACAAAAAAUUCAAUAAUUGCUUGUGUCAUUAAGCAUAAGACAAGCUUCUGAAGCUGUGUCCUUAAGGGGUUAACUAGAUAAAAUUAAAAACAAAUCAAAUAAACCCAAAAAUAGCACUAUUAUAAAUAAAAG